rnacentral:lncRNA from 1 species
CACCAAGAGAAGUUUAAAUUUAUAUUAAUGAAUGCCUGUAUGAUGAUGGCAAAGUCCAAUGCAUAUUUCAGGAAAGAAUGCUGAAGGACAGCUAUGCAGAGAAAGCUUUCCUGGAAUCACUGCUGAAGGAGCCAUUGUAGCUCUGACUUUAUUUUUUUCUGGAGAGCAGAUUACAAAGCACCUUACAUUCAAAAGCUCAAUGCUGAAGCUAUUAGAAACAUCCACCAGAGUGCCAGCUGCCCCUUGGAAGAGAAGUGAUCCAAGGUUUUUUCAGCUUAAGCACCAGAUUCAAGACUUUGAUUUCAAAUGGCCAUGGAAAACCAAAGCUGUACCUUACAAUUCAGUGUCAGAGAAACCAGUGUCCUUUACUCCCAUCACAAUCUCGCACAGAGAAGCAUUGCAGUUGCCACCAAACCAACAGGAAACUGAAGGAAUAGGAGGCCCCCUACACUUGCUGAGACACACACAGAAUUCCAGAUAUCAGCAAGAAGGAAAGAUUCAACAUCUGCUUGAAGAGACUUUUAUCUGAGUCAGCAAUCUCAAGAUCAUAACACCACCUGAAACCAAUGGCAUUCUCAAGAAAAUGGGAUAUUGGUAAAGGAUGGAGACUAUUACUAUACUGAAAAAUCUAAGUUCGAUUGAAUCAGAGAUACAAGAAAACAAG